rnacentral:lncRNA from 1 species
ACUGACAUGGAGCGUGGGUGCUUGGGUGUGCCUUUUCUCUUAGUUAUUAUGAAACAGUAUACAAGUGUGCAAAUGAGGCUAUGCUUUCUCUCUUAAUUUCUAUCCUCCUAAACACAUUCAGUUAACAGGCUCAUUUAAAAUCUUUGCUACAGGGAUGACAGUGCGUUUAUGGAAUUAUGUAUCAACAUUCUCAAAUUUGUCUGGCGAGAAGCUUCGUCAGAUUUAUUCUAAACUUAAACAGGAGCAACACGUAGAAGCAAGGGUAGGACCUUCACAAUUUAAUGGUUCUGCACUGGGGCAUCCAACGCCAGGGUUUAUACCCCGAGGUUUAGAUGUGGCAAAAUUUGAAGCAUGGAAACGAAGGAAAAGAGCUGAAGGUGAUGGUCAUUCCCAAGUUCAGCCCCAACAGCAAAGACCUUUGACUAAUGGGACACGUAAACAGGAGCAACACGUAGAAACAAGGGUAGGACCUUCACAAUUUAAUGGUUCUGCAUCCGGGCAUCCAACGCCAGGGUUUAUACCCCGAGGUUUAGAUGUGGCAAAAUUUGAAGCAUGGAAACGAAGGAAAAGAGCUGAAGCCGAUGGUCAUUCCCAAGUUCAGCCCCAGCA